ensembl:lncRNA
GGGGCUCCGACGCGGCGCUUCCUCCGCGGUCUCGGCUCUUCGCCGUGCCGCAGCUGCCCACGGCUCUACCAGUCGUGUGCAGGUCGGCUCUUCCGCGCCUCCCUUCGGCGAGCCCGCCGAGAAAGGCCGCCACCCCCGCUCCCUGACCUGCUGCGAGGAUGUAAGAUGGACCCGGAAGAGCAGGAGCUGUUGAAUGAUUACAGAUACAGGAGUUACUCUUCCGUGAUUGAAAAGGCUCUAAGAAAUUUUGAGUCCUCCAGCGAGUGGGCGGAUCUCAUAUCCUCACUGGGCAAGCUCAACAAGGUACGUGGGGCGGGGAGCGUUUGGGUGGCACGGAGGCAGGGACACCCCUGCCCUUUCAUUCCUUCAAGGACUUGUCCUCUUAAUGUUACGCUGCCUGCUGAUUACAGCCCUUAGAUAGGAAGAAAGGCCCAUGGUUCUGUCACCCAGUUACCCAAGGUUCACCUUUCGGGGUACUUGCCACCUUCCAGUCCUUUUCUCCUAAGCAUAGACGUGUGGUGUGGAAGAUAGUUGAUCGAACAGCAGAAGAGUCAUCUUCUCAGCAAUAUUUAAGUCUAAACAAGGGAUUUGGACCUGUUUGGGCUCAUUUUUUUUUCUUAGGGCAGCAUAUGGAAGUUCUCAGAACCAGAGUGGAAUCAGAGCUGCAGCUAUGGCCUACACCACAGCCAUACCAGAUCCAAGCCACAUCGGUGACCUACACCACAGCUCACAGCAAUGCCAGAUCCUUAACCCACUGAGCGAGGCCGGGGAUCGAACCUGCGUCCUCAUGCAUAUUAGUCGAUUCUUAACCCACUGAGCUACAACGGGAACUCCCUAAACAAGAUAGAUUUUUAGUGUCCAGCUAUUCACAGAUAAAUUGUCUUCUGUGUACUGCUUAGCAUUUUUACGGCUUUUUUGUUUCUGGUCUACCAUUUUACUGCUGACUAGUAACACCCAGAAGAAAAAAGAUGAAAUCAGUGUGGAAAUCUGCCCAGAGAUUGUGUGUGUGUGUGACAGAGAGAGAGAGAGAGUCAGGUCCAGGAAGAUCAAAACUGGUCAUAUGUAGACCUGACUUCGUGUUCUAUGGGUGAGGCUAUUGUAUUUUCGCAUCCUGCCUGGAAGGAGGGUGACCACUGUGCCCUGUAGGAGGAAGAUAUUUGGCCCUCGAAGAGGCUGUACCUGGCUCUCUUGCUGCCUGGCUCGGGCUCCUGUCUGUGACAGCUGACUCUGGAGCCCUCUGGGGUACCCUGACCUGCUGUGAGGAUGUAAGAUGGACAUAGGAGAUGCCCAGCCUAGUCUGGAAGGUCCUCACUCCCCAGGCCACACCCCCCCAGGGGCCUCUAAGAGACCUCGCUAAAGAGAAAGACCUCUAUUUACCUCUUCAAGAAACCGGGGAGUGAGAAUACGAGCAGCCUGACCAUGGGCUCAGGGGUGGGGUGGGCAAUGCCCAGGCAGCUUUCUAGCACCAGCCGCCGGAAAGCAGCUCUCAGCACCCACAGAUGGCACCAAGGAGAUAGGCAGCUAUUACAGGUAGUGGCCAGGAAACUGCCCAGUCUCUGCAAGGUGUAUUUACAGCACGGGAGCCUCGUGGCUGGUGCUGGCUAGGAUGGAGGCAUGUCAUCAAACAGCAAAUAAGAGCUGGCGAGUGCUUUGGUUGUAGAGUGCUAACCUUUCCAGCUGAAGAGAACAUUCGCUCUCUUGCAUGAAGGUGGGCUGCUUUUUUAGGGGGAAGGGAGAAGCCCUGGAAUGGGAUUUGGACAGGUUUGGGUUCUUCCAGAUGUUUCACUCUUUUAGCCCUCGACUCUCUGGAAUCUAAAAAGAUGCUUUUAGCGGGGAGGACAUGUGUUCAUUAUGUUUUUUGUUGAGUUAAAACUCAUGUAACAUAAAAUUUAGUCUUCACCCAGUUUAAAGUGUAUGGUUAAGUGGCUUUUAGUACAUCUACGAUGUUAUGCAACCAUCCCCACUCUACGUCCGGGAUGGUUUUCACCACCCCCAGAGGAAACCCUCCUCGUUCCUCCCGUUACCCAGCCCCUGGCAACCACUAACCUGCUUUCUGGGUCUGUGGAUAUUUCACAGAAAAUAAGUCACCCAGGAAUGUGGCCUUUUGUGUCUGGCUUCUUCCACUUGGCGUGUUUCAAGGUUCAUCCAUGUUGUGGGUGUAUCAGUACUUCAUUGCUUAUUACAGCUGAAUGAUGCUCCAUCGUAUGACUAGAUCACAUUGUGCUUAUCCAGUCAUCAGUGGGGUGUCUGCCUUUUGGCCGUCGUGAAUAGCGCUGUAUGGAUAUAUGUGUACAAGUUUUUGUUUGAACACCUGUCAUCCUUUCUUUUAAGUAUGUACCUAGGAGUGGAAUUACUCCGUUGUGCGGUGAAUCUAUACUGAACUUUGUUGGGGACCCACCAAGCUGUUUUCCUCGGUGGCUGCCCCACUUGAUGUGCCUCCCUGCAGUGUAUGAGGGUUCCAUUUUCUUCUCAUCCUCAGUAACACUUAUUGUCAUGGUUUUCCUUUUUUUUUUUUGAAUAUCUUUUCAUUUGCUUGUUGGCCAUUUGUAUAUCUUCCUUGGAGAAAUUUCUAUUCAGAAGAGACUGGGCGCAUUCAAGGUGGUAUGGCCAUCGGCUGGAGAAAUUUCUAUUCAAGUAUUAGGUCCGUUUUUAAACUACGCUGUUUAUCUUUUUUUAAUGGCCACACCCAGGGCAUAUGGAUGUUUCUAGGCCAGGGAUCAAAUCUGAGCCACAGCUGUGACAACACCUGAUCCUCAACCCACUGCACCAGGCCAGGGAGUGAACCUGCAUCUCCAGGGAGUGACCUAAGCUGCUGCGGAUUCUUAAUCCACAGUACCACAGUGGGAACUCCAGAGACUGUUCUUUUUUAAAGGUGUUGGAACCCUUGUUGGAAAUCAAUUAGCCAUAAAGAGAGGGGUUUGUAUCUGGGCUUUCAUUUUUUCCAUUGAUUUGUAUAUUUAUCCUUAGGCCAAUACUGCACAUUUUGACUAAUAAGCUUUUUUUUUUUUUUUUUUUAAUUUUUUGGCUUCACUUGCAGCAUGCAGAAAUUCCCUGACCAGGGAUUGAGCCCUCAGCACCUUUGUAACAGAGCUAUAGCAAUGACAAUAAUGGAUCUUUAACCCACUGAGCCACAAGGGAACUCCUCUAAUAAGUUUUGAAAUGGGAAGUAAGAGUCUUCCAACUUUGUUGUUCUUUUUUAAAAUUGUUCUAGCUAUUCGGGAUUCUUUGAUAUUCCAUGUGGCUUUUAGGAUCAGCUUGUCAAUUUCUGCAAAAAAAGCCAAUUGGGAUUUUGAGAGAGCUUGCAUUGACUCUGUAGAUGGCUUUGGGGAGUAGUGCCAUGUUAGCAAUAUUGUCUUCUGAAGAGUUCUCUGAUGGCACAGUGGCUUUAAGGAUUCAGCGUUGUCACUGCAGCGGCUGGAGUCACUGUUGUGGCAGAGGUUCAGUUCCUGCCCCAGGAACUUCUGCAUGCCUUGGGUACAGAAAGAAAAAAACCAAACGAAUAUCGUUUUCUAAUCUGUAAACACAGGAGGUCUUUCCAUUUACUUAGGAAUGUAUACAUUUUGAGGGAGGCCAAAUUAAUAGGCUUAGAAAGUGCAGUUCUUAAGCAAUGAGGUUAAAUAGAAGGCUUUGUUUCAGUAUACCUGAAAAACUUCCAAAAAUGUUUUAUCGUUGUAACCUGACUUCUGAAGGGCAGGUUAUUGAGUACAGUUGAAUUUUGAAAGUGGUGGCCGUUCAUCCAUUCAUUCAUUCGAUAGCCACCUGAGUGCCUUCAAAAUGUGUCAGUAGGGGCCAGGGGCGGCAGAGAGCAAAACAGACAAGACCCCGCCCUCAUUCUGCUGGGGGCGGGGAAGCUAGAUGAUAAGCGGAGUAUAUGGGCUGUUAGGUGGUAAUGAGUGUUGUGGGAACAGUAAGGGAAGGAGGGGACAGUGUGACAUUAAAUGGGGUCGUCUAGGAAGACCUUGCUGAGAUGGUGCCAUUUGACCAAGUGCAGAGGCUCUGGUGUGUCUGAGGUCAGGGAGGGUGUCACAAAGCCAGUGAGGGGAAACGAGGCCGCAGAGGAAAGGGCUGGGGAGGGCGUCUGAUCUUAUAGGUCCUUCCGCAGGAGAGUCUGGCAGUGGCCCCUUGAGCUGGGGGGAGCCGUCCGGCAGAGUGGCAUGGCCUGGCUUCCCUUUCAGGUGCCAGACCCAUUUCCAGGUGCCCUGCCAGGGUGGGGUUUGGCAAGGCAGACACAGGGAGACCAUUUAGGAGCCGUUGCUAUAACAGAAGCAGGCCCGUGCAGUGGUGCUUGGAUUCUGAAUGUGUUUCGAAGGUGUUGCCUCUGGAUCAGAUGUGGGAUGUAAGAGAAAAAGAGGCGGCAAGUAUGACUCACAGGUGUUCCCCCAGGUUUCUGGAUUGAGGAGCUGAAGGAUGCGAUCAGAAGGGGGAGGAGCCGGGUCGAGGGCUGAGCAGGGAGACCAGGGUCCCCUUUGGGACGCGUUAGUUUGAGCAUCUGGUAGACGUGCCAGUGUGAUGUCCAUGGGUGGUGCAUUAUGAGUCGUAUUGGAUAAGUGUUUAAAAAGACUACUUUUGGAAUUCCCAUUGUGGCUCAGCGAGUUAAGAACCCGGCAGAGUGUCCAUGAGGAUACGGGUUUGAUCCCUGGCCUCACUCCAUGGGUUACAGGUCUGGCAUUGCUGCAAGCUUCAGUGUACAUCACAGGUGCUGCUCAGAUCCCUUGUGGCUGUGGCUGUGGGGUGGGCUGGCAGCUGCAGUUCCAAUCCCACCCCUGGCCUGGGAACUUCUGUAUGCCACAGGUGUGACUGUAAAAGGAAAAAAA